UGUUAAAUAAUUUAUAUAAAAUAUUAAGUUGCAAACUUAAAAAAGGAUUCUACCUUUAACUU
rnacentral:tRNA from 1 species